GUACAUGGCGUAGUGGUUUGUGUGUUCGACUGUGACUCUAGAGACCAGGGUUCAAUUCCCCACUUGGCA